AUUGAACGCUGGCGGCAGGCCUGACACAUGCAAGUCGAGCGGAUGAAGGGGGCUUGCUCCUGGAUUCAGCGGCGGACGGGUGAGUAAUGCCUAGGAAUCUGCCUGGUAGUGGGGGAUAACGUCCGGAAACGGGCGCUAAUACCGCAUACGUCCUGAGGGAGAAAGUGGGGGAUCUUCGGACCUCACGCUAUCAGAUGAGCCUAGGUCGGAUUAGCUAGUUGGUGGGGUAAAGGCCUACCAAGGCGACGAUCCGUAACUGGUCUGAGAGGAUGAUCAGUCACACUGGAACUGAGACACGGUCCAGACUCCUACGGGAGGCAGCAGUGGGGAAUAUUGGACAAAGGGCGAAAGCCUGAUCCAGCCAUGCCGCGUGUGUGAAGAAGGUCUUCGGAUUGUAAAGCACUUUAAGUUGGGAGGAAGGGCAGUAAGUUAAUACCUUGCUGUUUUGACGUUACCAACAGAAUAAGCACCGGCUAACUUCGUG
rnacentral:rRNA from 1 species